rnacentral:rRNA from 1 species
ACACGUGAUUCAGAGUUUGAUCCUGGCUCAGGACGAACGCUGGCGGCGUGCCUAAUACAUGCAAGUCGAGCGGAGACUUCAUCGGUCUUGUACCUUUGAAUUCUUAGCGGCGGACGGGUGAGUAACACGUGGGUAACCUACCUUAUAGUUUUGGGAUAACUUCGGGAAACCGAGGCUAAUACCGAAUACGUAAUUUCUUCGCAUGAAGUGAAUUUGGAAAGACGGUUUCGGCUGUCGCUAUAAGAUGGACCCGCGGCGCAUUAGCUAGUUGGUGAGGUAACGGCUCACCAAGGCAACGAUGCGUAGCCGACCUGAGAGGGUGAUCGGCCACACUGGGACUGAGACACGGCCCAG